CCGUGCCGGACCCGCCACUCUGCCCCCUCCCCCCUUCUUCUCCGGUGGCGGCGGAUCUUGCGUUCUCAACGGCGGCGGCGGAGCCCUCGUUCUCAACGGCGGCGGAGCCUUCGUCCUCAAAAAAUGGUUGUGAGGGGAGCCCGUGGGCAUACUGAGAUGGAGCCCCCAGAUUCAACUUCGAAUAGAGGGGAUGCUGCCGCUCGGACCUUCGAAUUGACGGUCAAUUUCUUUCCAUCAAAGGCAAAAUUAGUUGAUGGUAGCAUUCAGAACAUUGAGAGAGACACAAUUGUUAAAUGGGAGGUUGAGUUUACAGAGAUUGAUCCACAAGUUCUACAGAACAUGGGAGAGAAGGCAGUGAAGAAAUGGGUGGAAAAAAUUGGGGAGAAUGUUGUUUGGGGUCCAGAGCAAGAAGUAUCACUGUUGCGGUUUGAUGAUUGGAAAGGAGAGUAUGUGAGAAUGGAAGAUGGUGAACAGAUUGUUGAUGAAAUCGAUCGGCAAAACGGCUGGACAAGCAAACGAGCUAAU